GAUAAAAAUUGGAAGAUUGAAUUAGGCAACUCAUGACAUUCAUUUCGACCUAAGUUGCCUUUGUCUCUCUAGCUCUAGCUUCUCUCUAAAGUUGCCGCCGUUCCGAUGGGCUUUCUGACGUCGUGAGUAUGAUGAAAGCCUUGCCUGGUGUUCUUACACACCCGUUGAGGUUCUGACUCACCUCCUCUUCUUUGAAAGUUGAAGAUUGGCCUCCAUUAAGCUCAAGUAUGUUUCCAAAAAUCUGCUCUUAUGAUUUUAUGUCCUUUUCAGCUUCUAACUCCUGCUUUCUUGUUUGGUAUGAGUGGAAUUUGCCAGCAUUUCCAAGAUAUAUGGCUUUUUUUUUCUUCAUCAUCUGAGCUCCGACAUACCUUCAUCUGAAGAAAAAGUUUUGGAUUUAGAGCCCUGCAUUCAGCCUCCCCAUGCCCUUGUAAUUUGCAGUGUUUGUAGUACUUUGGUAAGUAAUCAUAAUUUAUGUUUAUCCACUUUGAUUUGUUCUUCGCAGUUUCCUCAUCAACUUCUGCUAUGUUAAUUCUACUGGGAUGUUUUGCUAGUAGAUCAAUCUGAAUCUUGACUUUUGCACAACUUGGCCUUGUCCUGUUUGUUGUUGCUAGAUCUACUGUUAGUGGUUUCCCAACUGCUGUGGCCAUUGAAAAAUAGCUUCUUUGGGAAAAAAAAUUAGGGGGUAAUAUGCUGAAGUAGACAAGAAUCUCACAUAGUCCUCAAAUAAAGACAAACGAAUCAGGAUAUACAGGCAAAUGGUGGCCUUUCCUUUGACACCACAUUGUAUUGGCACAAUAUCUCUUAAUUGUUUUAUUUUAAUGAUGUCAUAAGAAAAUUUUCCCAGUACUGCAUAUUGUAAAUCUUCCUUUAAAAUCAUCCUUUGUAUCUCCUUUGAAUUCCAUGUAAUAGAUGGAUCUUCUUCUUUGAAUUGGACAGUUUUGGCUAAAAUUGUAAUAUGUGGUAUGGUUUGAAUUGGGGUAGUAGGUUUAAGAAGAUUGGCAUAUUUUGGUUGUGAUAAUUCCUCGGCAGGCAAGACUUUAGGAUCGUUUUUGGGCUUGUUUUUAUCUGGGGUGUUUGGAGUAGUUAGAGGUGGAAACUGGUAUUAUAGGAUGUUGUAGUUGUUAUAGGAUCAAGUAAAGGUAAAGGUAUUGGUGGUACAUUAUCCGGUGGAGGCUGUCCACAAGAAGAGGUGGGCAUAUGGCUGGCGGCAUUUAUUUUAGUUGUGGGGUUUAGGUAGGUUUAGGUUUUAAGCUAGAGAGCAUUUGAGGUAUUUUUCUAUUUGGACUUCCUAAGCUUUGGAUAAACCAUUUUUAACAUAAAUUUCUGAUUUUGCCCUAUUGGGCUUGGGUUUCGUUUUUAAGGUCAUUUUAGAUUUUGGUUUGGGUAUAUGGCAGUAUGGGUAUCUUUAGCUUCGUAAUCUAAGGUAGAAUAAUUAUUUGGUAGGCUUUGAUCGAUGCGAGGCUAUUCGAAAAGGAAAGGCUUUGGCUUGAGGUUCGUGGCAACUAUUCGGCUUUCGAGGUGGGUUACGCCUUACCCUAUGGUUAUAGUCCGAUUAGCGAAGCAUAUGUAGAUGGUAGUUAUUUAUAGGGAAAGCAUGAUAGGCCUUCGGGCAAGGUGUGGAGGUGAUUCCAAUUAGGUUGGUAUCGUUAGCUGUUGAGUGGGCUUGUGGACAUGUUUGAUAUACUUGUGAUUUAUUUGUACUCAUAGCUAUCUCUUGAUAUCUCACUUAUAAUAUGAAAAGGUAAGGGUAAUGGAAAUGAAAUGAGUUGUGAUUUAUAUUUCAUGGCAAGUAACUAUUGAGACUUCGAUGUGUUUGAUUGUCGAGGUUGAUAUCAUGCAUGGCAUGCAUUCCUUAUUAUAUAUGAUUGAUCUAAUACGAAUUGUGAUUGGAAAUGAUGAUAAGUGAGAGAGUGUAGCCUCCGAGGUCUCUGUCGGAGAGUGUAAAAGCGAGAUGAGAGCUAUGAUCCGUGAUCUUUACCGGAGCGGGAUGAGUGCUCGUGAUCCAAGGUCAUAUACCGGAGCGAGAAAGAGUGUGUACAUGGACUUCGCGGGCAUCCUAUGAGUCAUGGCUAUUGAGGCAUUGCCCUUAGCAUGUGCGUACGGUGGAGAAGAGCCUUUGUGGUAGCUCCUUGCAUAGAGUAUGGCCUGUGUGGCAGCUCACUGCAGUUGCACUGCAUUUGCAUCGUAUUACAUUCACAUACAUUCAUUUGUUCUUAACUGUUGAUUUGGCAGCUUAUACUUAUCAUCUGAUCUUAUACUUGAUGUGUUUUAUGACUUGUUCUUGACUACUUAUCUGCUCUACUUGUCAACUUCUUUCUAUUUAUAUAUGUGAACUUCGUUGUCGGCCUAUGAUACCUAUGAGUACGUGUGUUUGUACUCAUACUACACUUGUUGCACUUUUCCUUGGUGUAGAGUUUAUUGCCGGUUCGACAUCUUGACCUCGUGAGUGAUCUGAGGCCUUGAUUUUAUACUUCCAGGGUGAGCUACUUUCCUGAUCCGCAGCCCGGGUCCUUGUAAAAUUGGAAGCUAUGGAAGAAAAACUUGAAUCUCUUAAGGAUUUAAUGGCCUCAACUUUAUUCAGCAUAGAGAUGAUAAGGGAAUCUCCAAAGGAAACAAGUGCUGAUAUUGCUAGGUCAGGGUGAAGCUCGAUCAAAUUGUCCAGGAAACAGUGAAGCUGUUUGUAAAGCUUUAGACAUGUGCAACGGAUUUCCCUACCAAAAUGUCAGAAUCCCUUGAGGCCUUGAACGAUGCCAUCGUGAACACUUUGGAUUACUUUCUUCGUCCUAUCUUGCAGCAACAGAAGCAGCAGCAGCAGGAGUAGUUGAUGACGUGUUCUCUGUUUUUUGCUUGGUCUGUUUAAACAAUGUUCUCUCUGAACAUUAGUCCAGAUGCUUUGUUUUCGCUGCUUGUGUGCUGACCGGUUAAGCACUAUAUUUCUUUGCUUGGUUGUUUAUAAUGCUUGCUAUGCUACUUGUGUUGUGCGUUUUUUGUUUUGUUUGUUUUUUAUUGAUGCCAAAGGGGGAGAACAUGGUAAGUCAACUAUUCAACUAUUCAGGGAGGAGCAACCUUGUCAGUUAUAAAACAGGGAAGUUGACUAUGUCUCUUAUGAGUAUUUAGUCGUCAUCAUCAAAGAGGCGGAGAUUGUUAAGAUUUUAAUGAUGACAAGUGUUUAUUUGCAGGAAAAUACUCAAGGACUUCAACAAGUUCAUUGGACGAGCUUUGAAAAGAAGACAGUAGGCCUAUUGAUUCAUACAACCCAAUAAAGCUAUAGUAGAGUCAACCAGCCCAAAACAAAGAAAGUCCUCACUAAGUAAAAUAUUCAAGAAAAAAUUGUACUCUAUAGAAGGAAGAUCUCGGCGCGCCUACAUUAAAAGCAGUCAAUCAAUGAAUCUUUUAUUUAAAGAAACAUGUACCAAGGAACUACUUCAAGUAGAAGAAUUUAAGGAAGCAAUCAAUUGAAGAUCCUAAAUCAGUAUCAAUCGAAGAUCCUAAUAGAAGGAAAGCUGGAAACUACAACUGGAGAUUCUAAUCAAAGUUGUCCACGAGGAAAGCUGCUUAGAAGACUUGAAGAUAUGAAAGUCAAUCAACAUUGAAUGCUCUUGCUUUAUUCUUGGAAAAUCAGGAUCCUCAAUAUUUCUAUUUUCCAAGGAUCAAUUCUUGGGUUGCCUUCUCUGCUCGAAAAGCCAAACCGCUAUAUUCUGAAGAAUAUAAAUAGAGGCUUAAGCAAAUGAAUACAUUUGUACUUCGUCUCAACCUUCUCACUGUCUUUGCUCUACAUUUCAUAAGCAUUGUAUUUUUGAGUGAUUUACUGUGUAAACAAAAAAAAGAGGAGGGAUAUAAUUAUAGUUGGUGAGGUAUUUUAUCACAAGAUUACAAGAGUCUGAGUGUUGA